rnacentral:tRNA from 1 species
UGUAGCGCAGCUUGGUAGCGCACUGUCAUGGGGUGUCAGGGGUCGGAGGUUCAAAUCCUCUCA